ensembl:snoRNA
UUGGCCCUGAAUCAAGGCCGGUAGCUUCCUGAUGAUGUUGGUUUCAAGCAGGAGUCUUUCUAUGGUGUGUUGGCCACUUUAGGACUUGGACAGUGAAAUGGUCAAUUCAUUAAAAAGAAACAGCU